GAACGCUGGCGGCGUGCUUAACACAUGCAAGUCGAACGGAAAGGCCCUGCUUGCAGGGUACUCGAGUGGCGAACGGGUGAGUAACACGUGGGUGAUCUGCCCUGCACUUCGGGAUAAGCCUGGGUAACUGGGUCUAAUACCGUAUAGGAGCCAUUUUUAGUGUGAUGGUUGGAAAGUUUUUUCGGUGUAGGAUGAGCUCGCGGCCUAUCAGCUUGUUGGUGGGGGAAUGGCCUACCAAGGCGGCGACGGGUAGCCGGCCUGGGAGGGUGGACGGCCACAUUGGGGCUGGGAGACGGCCCAGACUCCUACGGGGGGCAGCAGUGGGGAAUAUUGCACAAUGGGCGCAAGCCUGAUGCAGCGACGCCGCGGGGGGGAUGACGGCCUUCGGGUUGUAAACUCCUUUCGCUAGGGACGAAGCUGUUUGUGACGGUACCUAGAUAAGAAGCACCGGCUAACUACGUG
rnacentral:rRNA from 1 species